rnacentral:rRNA from 1 species
GCACCACAAGGGGUGAAGCUUGCGGUUUAAUUGGAGUCAACGCCGGAAAUCUCACCGGGAGCGACAGCAGAGUGAAGGCCAGAUUAAAGGUCUUGCCAGACAAGCUGAGAGGAGGUGCAUGGCCGUCGCCAGUUCGUGCCGUGAGGUGUCCUGUUAAGUCAGGCAACGAUCGAGACCCGCAUCCACUGUUGCUACUAGCCUUGUGCUGGGCACACUGUGGAGACCGCCACUGAUAAAGUGGAGGAAGGAGCGGGCCACGGCAGGUCAGUAUGCCCCGAAUCUCCCGGGCCACACGCGAGCUGCAAUGGCAGGUGCAAUGAGUUCCGACCUCGAAAGGGGAAGGCAAUCUCCGAAAGCCUGCCGUAGUCGGGAUCGAGGGUUGUACCCAUCCUCGUGAACAUGGAAUCCCUAGUAAUCGCGUGUCAUUAGCGCGCGGUGAAUACGUCCCUGCUCCUUGCACACACCGGCCCGUCNUUCCAUCCUGAAGCGACUCUUGGGUGAGGCGCCNGUCUUUCAUUGGCGGCGUUCGAAUCUAAGUUUUNUUAAGGAGGGAA